ACUCCUACGGGAGGCAGCAGUGGGGAAUCUUGGACAAUGGGCGCAAGCCUGAUCCAGCCAUGCCGCGUGAGUGAUGAAGGCCUUAGGGUCGUAAAGCUCUUUCGCCUGUGAUGAUAAUGACAGUAGCAGGUAAAGAAACCCCGGCUAACUCCGUGCCAGCAGCCGCGGUAAUACGGAGGGGUUAGCGUUGUUCGGAAUUACUGGGCGUAAAGCGCGCGUAGGCGGACUGGAAAGUUGGGGGUGAAAUCCCGGGGCUCAACCCGGAACUGCCUCCAAACUAUCAGUCUAGAGUUCGAGAGAGGUGAGUGGAAUUCCGAGUGUAGAGGUGAAAUUCGUAGAUAUUCGGAGGAACACCAGUGGCGAAGGCGGCUCACUGGCUCGAUACUGACGCUGAGGUGCGAAAGUGUGGGGAGCAAACAGGAUUAGAUACCCUGGUAGGAUAGCG
rnacentral:rRNA from 1 species